rnacentral:lncRNA from 1 species
GGUAGGCAUUGAGGCAGCCAGCGCAGGGGCUUCUGCUGAGGGGGCAGGCGGAGCUUGAGGAAACCGCAGAUAAGUUUUUUUCUCUUUGAAAGAUAGAGAUUAAUACAACUACUUAAAAAAUAUAGUCAAUAGGUUACUAAGAUAUUGCUUAGCGUUAAGUUUUUAACGUAAUUUUAAUAGCUUAAGAUUUUAAGAGAAAAUAUGAAGACUUAGAAGAGUAGCAUGAGGAAGGAAAAGAUAAAAGGUUUCUAAAACAUGACGGAGGUUGAGAUGAAGCUUCUUCAUGGAGUAAAAAAUGUAUUUAAAAGAAAAUUGAGAGAAAGGACUACAGAGCCCCGAAUUAAUACCAAUAGAAGGGCAAUGCUUUUAGAUUAAAAUGAAGGUGACUUAAACAGCUUAAAGUUUAGUUUAAAAGUUGUAGGUGAUUAAAAUAAUUUGAAGGCGAUCUUUUAAAAAGAGAUUAAACCGAAGGUGAUUAAAAGACCUUGAAAUCCAUGACGCAGGGAGAAUUGCGUCAUUUAAAGCCUAGUUAACGCAUUUACUAAACGCAGACGAAAAUGGAAAGAUUAAUUGGGAGUGGUAGGAUGAAACAAUUUGGAGAAGAUAGAAGUUUGAAGUGGAAAACUGGAAGACAGAAGUACGGGAAGGCGAAGAAAAGAAUAGAGAAGAUAGGGAAAUUAGAAGAUAAAAACAUACUUUUAGAAGAAAAAAGAUAAAUUUAAACCUGAAAAGUAGGAAGCAGAAGAAAAAAGACAAGCUAGGAAACAAAAAGCUAAGGGCAAAAUGUACAAACUUAGAAGAAAAUUGGAAGAUAGAAACAAGAUAGAAAAUGAAAAUAUUGUCAAGAGUUUCAGAUAGAAAAUGAAAAACAAGCUAAGACAAGUAUUGGAGAAGUAUAGAAGAUAGAAAAAUAUAAAGCCAAAAAUUGGAUAAAAUAGCACUGAAAAAAUGAGGAAAUUAUUGGUAACCAAUUUAUUUUAAAAGCCCAUCAAUUUAAUUUCUGGUGGUGCAGAAGUUAGAAGGUAAAGCUUGAGAAGAUGAGGGUGUUUACGUAGACCAGAACCAAUUUAGAAGAAUACUUGAAGCUAGAAGGGGAAGUUGGUUAAAAAUCACAUCAAAAAGCUACUAAAAGGACUGGUGUAAUUUAAAAAAAACUAAGGCAGAAGGCUUUUGGAAGAGUUAGAAGAAUUUGGAAGGCCUUAAAUAUAGUAGCUUAGUUUGAAAAAUGUGAAGGACUUUCGUAACGGAAGUAAUUCAAGAUCAAGAGUAAUUACCAACUUAAUGUUUUUGCAUUGGACUUUGAGUUAAGAUUAUUUUUUAAAUCCUGAGGACUAGCAUUAAUUGACAGCUGACCCAGGUGCUACACAGAAGUGGAUUCAGUGAAUCUAGGAAGACAGCAGCAGACAGGAUUCCAGGAACCAGUGUUUGAUGAAGCUAGGACUGAGGAGCAAGCGAGCAAGCAGCAGUUCGUGGUGAAGAUAGGAAAAGAGUCCAGGAGCCAGUGCGAUUUGGUGAAGGAAGCUAGGAAGAAGGAAGGAGCGCUAACGAUUUGGUGGUGAAGCUAGGAAAAAGGAUUCCAGGAAGGAGCGAGUGCAAUUUGGUGAUGAAGGUAGCAGGCGGCUUGGCUUGGCAACCACACGGAGGAGGCGAGCAGGCGUUGUGCGUAGAGGAUCCUAGACCAGCAUGCCAGUGUGCCAAGGCCACAGGGAAAGCGAGUGGUUGGUAAAAAUCCGUGAGGUCGGCAAUAUGUUGUUUUUCUGGAACUUACUUAUGGUAACCUUUUAUUUAUUUUCUAAUAUAAUGGGGGAGUUUCGUACUGAGGUGUAAAGGGAUUUAUAUGGGGACGUAGGCCGAUUUCCGGGUGUUGUAGGUUUCUCUUUUUCAGGCUUAUACUCAUGAAUCUUGUCUGAAGCUUUUGAGGGCAGACUGCCAAGUCCUGGAGAAAUAGUAGAUGGCAAGUUUGUGGGUUUUUUUUUUUUACACGAAUUUGAGGAAAACCAAAUGAAUUUGAUAGCCAAAUUGAGACAAUUUCAGCAAAUCUGUAAGCAGUUUGUAUGUUUAGUUGGGGUAAUGAAGUAUUUCAGUUUUGUGAAUAGAUGACCUGUUUUUACUUCCUCACCCUGAAUUCGUUUUGUAAAUGUAGAGUUUGGAUGUGUAACUGAGGCGGGGGGGAGUUUUCAGUAUUUUUUUUUGUGGGGGUGGGGGCAAAAUAUGUUUUCAGUUCUUUUUCCCUUAGGUCUGUCUAGAAUCCUAAAGGCAAAUGACUCAAGGUGUAACAGAAAACAAGAAAAUCCAAUAUCAGGAUAAUCAGACCACCACAGGUUUACAGUUUAUAGAAACUAGAGCAGUUCUCACGUUGAGGUCUGUGGAAGAGAUGUCCAUUGGAGAAAUGGCUGGUAGUUACUCUUUUUUCCCCCCACCCCCUUAAUCAGACUUUAAAAGUGCUUAACCCCUUAAACUUGUUAUUUUUUACUUGAAGCAUUUUGGGAUGGUCUUAACAGGGAAGAGAGAGGGUGGGGGAGAAAAUGUUUUUUUCUAAGAUUUUCCACAGAUGCUAUAGUACUAUUGACAAACUGGGUUAGAGAAGGAGUGUACCGCUGUGCUGUUGGCACGAACACCUUCAGGGACUGGAGCUGCUUUUAUCCUUGGAAGAGUAUUCCCAGUUGAAGCUGAAAAGUACAGCACAGUGCAGCUUUGGUUCAUAUUCAGUCAUCUCAGGAGAACUUCAGAAGAGCUUGAGUAGGCCAAAUGUUGAAGUUAAGUUUUCCAAUAAUGUGACUUCUUAAAAGUUUUAUUAAAGGGGAGGGGCAAAUAUUGGCAAUUAGUUGGCAGUGGCCUGUUACGGUUGGGAUUGGUGGGGUGGGUUUAGGUAAUUGUUUAGUUUAUGAUUGCAGAUAAACUCAUGCCAGAGAACUUAAAGUCUUAGAAUGGAAAAAGUAAAGAAAUAUCAACUUCCAAGUUGGCAAGUAACUCCCAAUGAUUUAGUUUUUUUCCCCCCAGUUUGAAUUGGGAAGCUGGGGGAAGUUAAAUAUGAGCCACUGGGUGUACCAGUGCAUUAAUUUGGGCAAGGAAAGUGUCAUAAUUUGAUACUGUAUCUGUUUUCCUUCAAAGUAUAGAGCUUUUGGGGAAGGAAAGUAUUGAACUGGGGGUUGGUCUGGCCUACUGGGCUGACAUUAACUACAAUUAUGGGAAAUGCAAAAGUUGUUUGGAUAUGGUAGUGUGUGGUUCUCUUUUGGAAUUUUUUUCAGGUGAUUUAAUAAUAAUUUAAAACUACUAUAGAAACUGCAGAGCAAAGGAAGUGGCUUAAUGAUCCUGAAGGGAUUUCUUCUGAUGGUAGCUUUUGUAUUAUCAAGUAAGAUUCUAUUUUCAGUUGUGUGUAAGCAAGUUUUUUUUUAGUGUAGGAGAAAUACUUUUCCAUUGUUUAACUGCAAAACAAGAUGUUAAGGUAUGCUUCAAAAAUUUUGUAAAUUGUUUAUUUUAAACUUAUCUGUUUGUAAAUUGUAACUGAUUAAGAAUUGUGAUAGUUCAGCUUGAAUGUCUCUUAGAGGGUGGGCUUUUGUUGAUGAGGGAGGGGAAACUUUUUUUUUUUCUAUAGACUUUUUUCAGAUAACAUCUUCUGAGUCAUAACCAGCCUGGCAGUAUGAUGGCCUAGAUGCAGAGAAAACAGCUCCUUGGUGAAUUGAUAAGUAAAGGCAGAAAAGAUUAUAUGUCAUACCUCCAUUGGGGAAUAAGCAUAACCCUGAGAUUCUUACUACUGAUGAGAACAUUAUCUGCAUAUGCCAAAAAAUUUUAAGCAAAUGAAAGCUACCAAUUUAAAGUUACGGAAUCUACCAUUUUAAAGUUAAUUGCUUGUCAAGCUAUAACCACAAAAAUAAUGAAUUGAUGAGAAAUACAAUGAAGAGGCAAUGUCCAUCUCAAAAUACUGCUUUUACAAAAGCAGAAUAAAAGCGAAAAGAAAUGAAAAUGUUACACUACAUUAAUCCUGGAAUAAAAGAAGCCGAAAUAAAUGAGAGAUGAGUUGGGAUCAAGUGGAUUGAGGAGGCUGUGCUGUGUGCCAAUGUUUCGUUUGCCUCAGACAGAAACUUUGUCUGCGAACACUCUUUAAUGGACCAGAUCAGGAUUUGAGCGGAAGAACGAAUGUAACUUUAAGGCAGGAAAGACAAAUUUUAUUCUUCAUAAAGUGAUGAGCAUAUAAUAAUUCCAGGCACAUGGCAAUAGAGGCCCUCUAAAUAAGGAAUAAAUAACCUCUUAGACAGGUGGGAGAUUAUGAUCAGAGUAAAAGGUAAUUACACAUUUUAUUUCCAGAAAGUCAGGGGUCUAUAAAUUGACAGUGAUUAGAGUAAUACUUUUUCACAUUUCCAAAGUUUGCAUGUUAACUUUAAAUGCUUACAAUCUUAGAGUGGUAGGCAAUGUUUUACACUAUUGACCUUAUAUAGGGAAGGGAGGGGGUGCCUGUGGGGUUUUAAAGAAUUUUCCUUUGCAGAGGCAUUUCAUCCUUCAUGAAGCCAUUCAGGAUUUUGAAUUGCAUAUGAGUGCUUGGCUCUUCCUUCUGUUCUAACUUCACAGAGAAUGCAGUUGUCUUGACUUCAGGUCUGUCUGUUCUGUUGGCAAGUAAAUGCAGUACUGUUCUGAUCCCGCUGCUAUUAGAAUGCAUUGUGAAACGACUGGAGUAUGAUUAAAAGUUGUGUUCCCCAAUGCUUGGAGUAGUGAUUGUUGAAGGAAAAAAUCCAGCUGAGUGAUAAAGGCUGAGUGUUGAGGAAAUUUCUGCAGUUUUAAGCAGUCGUAUUUGUGAUUGAAGCUGAGUACAUUUUGCUGGUGUAUUUUUAGGUAAAAUGCUUUUUGUUCAUUUCUGGUGGUGGGAGGGGACUGAAGCCUUUAGUCUUUUCCAGAUGCAACCUUAAAAUCAGUGACAAGAAACAUUCCAAACAAGCAACAGUCUUCAAGAAAUUAAACUGGCAAGUGGAAAUGUUUAAACAGUUCAGUGAUCUUUAGUGCAUUGUUUAUGUGUGGGUUUCUCUCUCCCCUCCCUUGGUCUUAAUUCUUACAUGCAGGAACACUCAGCAGACACACGUAUGCGAAGGGCCAGAGAAGCCAGACCCAGUAAGAAAAAAUAGCCUAUUUACUUUAAAUAAACCAAACAUUCCAUUUUAAAUGUGGGGAUUGGGAACCACUAGUUCUUUCAGAUGGUAUUCUUCAGACUAUAGAAGGAGCUUCCAGUUGAAUUCACCAGUGGACAAAAUGAGGAAAACAGAUUUUUCAGGUACCCCUCACUAAAGGCACCGAAGGCUUAAAGUAGGACAACCAUGGAGCCUUCCUGUGGCAGGAGAGACAACAAAGCGCUAUUAUCCUAAGGUCAAGAGAAGUGUCAGCCUCACCUGAUUUUUAUUAGUAAUGAGGACUUGCCUCAACUCCCUCUUUCUGGAGUGAAGCAUCCGAAGGAAUGCUUGAAGUACCCCUGGGCUUCUCUUAACAUUUAAGCAAGCUGUUUUUAUAGCAGCUCUUAAUAAUAAAGCCCAAAUCUCAAGCGGUGCUUGAAGGGGAGGGAAAGGGGGAAAGCGGGCAACCACUUUUCCCUAGCUUUUCCAGAAGCCUGUUAAAAGCAAGGUCUCCCCACAAGCAACUUCUCUGCCACAUCGCCACCCCGUGCCUUUUGAUCUAGCACAGACCCUUCACCCCUCACCUCGAUGCAGCCAGUAGCUUGGAUCCUUGUGGGCAUGAUCCAUAAUCGGUUUCAAGGUAACGAUGGUGUCGAGGUCUUUGGUGGGUUGAACUAUGUUAGAAAAGGCCAUUAAUUUGCCUGCAAAUUGUUAACAGAAGGGUAUUAAAACCACAGCUAAGUAGCUCUAUUAUAAUACUUAUCCAGUGACUAAAACCAACUUAAACCAGUAAGUGGAGAAAUAACAUGUUCAAGAACUGUAAUGCUGGGUGGGAACAUGUAACUUGUAGACUGGAGAAGAUAGGCAUUUGAGUGGCUGAGAGGGCUUUUGGGUGGGAAUGCAAAAAUUCUCUGCUAAGACUUUUUCAGGUGAACAUAACAGACUUGGCCAAGCUAGCAUCUUAGCGGAAGCUGAUCUCCAAUGCUCUUCAGUAGGGUCAUGAAGGUUUUUCUUUUCCUGAGAAAACAACACGUAUUGUUUUCUCAGGUUUUGCUUUUUGGCCUUUUUCUAGCUUAAAAAAAAAAAAAGCAAAAGAUGCUGGUGGUUGGCACUCCUGGUUUCCAGGACGGGGUUCAAAUCCCUGCGGCGUCUUUGCUUUGACUACUAAUCUGUCUUCAGGACUCUUUCUGUAUUUCUCCUUUUCUCUGCAGGUGCUAGUUCUUGGAGUUUUGGGGAGGUGGGAGGUAACAGCACAAUAUCUUUGAACUAUAUACAUCCUUGAUGUAUAAUUUGUCAGGAGCUUGACUUGAUUGUAUAUUCAUAUUUACACGAGAACCUAAUAUAACUGCCUUGUCUUUUUCAGGUAAUAGCCUGCAGCUGGUGUUUUGAGAAGCCCUACUGCUGAAAACUUAACAAUUUUGUGUAAUAAAAAUGGAGAAGCUC